rnacentral:rRNA from 1 species
CAAGUAGCGGAGCAUGUGGUUUAAUUCGAAGCAACGCGAAGAACCUUACCUAAGCUUGACAUCCCAAUGACAUCUCCUUAAUCGGAGAGUUCCCUUCGGGGACGUUGGUGACAGGUGGUGCAUGGUUGUCGUCAGCUCGUGUCGUGAGAUGUUGGGUUAAGUCCCGCAACGAGCGCAACCCUUGUCUUUAGUUGCCAUCAUUA